AGAUUGAACGCUGGCGGCAUGCCUUACACAUGCAAGUCGAACGGCAGCACGGGAGCAAUCCUGGUGGCGAGUGGCGAACGGGUGAGUAAUACAUCGGAACGUGCCCAAUCGUGGGGGAUAACGCAGCGAAAGCUGUGCUAAUACCGCAUAAGAUCUACGGAUGAAAGCAGGGGACCGCAAGGCCUUGCGCGAAUGGAGCGGCCGAUGGCAGAUUAGGUAGUUGGUGGGGUAAAGGCUCGACCAAGCCUUCGAUCUGUAGCUGGUCUGAGAGGACGACCAGCCACACUGGGACUGAGACACGGCCCAGACUCCUACGGGAGGCAGCAGUGGGGAAUUUUGGACAAUGGGCGCAAGCCUGAUCCAGCCAUGCCGCGUGCAGGAUGAAGGCCUUCGGUUGUAACGUGUCUUUUGUACGGUAACGAAAAGGUUACUUUACUUAAUAAAGAAGAGCUCAUGUACGGUACCGUAAGAAUAAGACACCGGACUAACUACGUACGACCG
rnacentral:rRNA from 1 species